rnacentral:rRNA from 1 species
GACGAAGGGGGCUAGCGUUGUUCGGAAUUACUGGGCGUAAAGCGCGUGUAGGCGGUUGGCAUAGUCAGGUGUGAAAGCCUUGAGCUCAACUCAAGAAAUGCACUUGAUACUGGGCGACUAGAGGACCGGAGAGGAUAGUGGAAUUCCCAGUGUAGUGGUGAAAUACGUAGAGAUUGGGAAGAACACCAGUGGCGAAGGCGGCUAUCUGGACGGUUUCUGACGCUAAGACGCGAAAGCGUGGGGAGCAAACAGG